UACGUAGGGUGCGAGCGUUAAUCGGAAUUACUGGGCGUAAAGCGUGCGCAAGCGGUUUUGUAAGCCAGAUGUGAAAUCCCCGGGCUUAACCUGGGAAUGGCAUUUGGGACUGCAAGGCUUGAGUGCGGCAGAGGAGACUGGAAUUCCUGGUGUAGCAGUGAAAUGCGUAGAUAUCAGGAGGAACACCGAUGGCGAAGGCAGGUCUCUGGGCUGACACUGACGCUCAUGCACGAAAGCGUGGGGAGCAAACAGG
rnacentral:rRNA from 1 species